UGAGUGUUGGUAAGGGGUGGGGGCGCUACAUGGCCUAAGUUUCCAUUCAGACAAGCUGUGCAAUGUGGAGUCUUUCAGCUCCUGAAACCUGUGGCAGCAACCAGGGUAGUAUCAGAGGACAACAGACAUUAGUCCUCAGCUCCCAAGAGGACAACAUGUGCAAAGAAGGAACAGCCGGCGCCUGAUGUCCGCCCCCAGUGCCCACUCAAAGAAGUGAGGGGUCAAAGGUGCAGCAGUGAAGGUGAAAAUGCAUCUCUGACCUCUUCUGUUUGUUCAAGGUGGCCUCUAUGCAGAUCAAGGCAUCAAGUUCAGCUCUAAGACUCCCCUCUUCUUCCAAGAGAAAGUUGUCUCUUUCAUUUUCACUGGCACAAGACCUGCUUCAUUCUUUUUCAACGGCCUCUUUUAUUUCUCUCCGUCUUUGCCUGCCUCAAUCUUGCCAUUUUCUCAUAACCUCUCUUUUAAAUCUGCAUCAUGUGCGUUUCUCUUCGAGUUAUCUUUUCUCUUUAUCUUAGCUCUCUUUCAUUUUUAAAUCUUCUGUGGUACCAACCAUCCCUGAUCCUUGUUCUACCCUUCUAUGGCUCUCUCGGUGUGGCCUAGACACCCUGUAGUCUGGAAACGGGCCCGUCGCAGCCCUGCCCUUGUGGUCCUCUGCACAGCCCCGUGGGUAAUGGGCAUUGUGUAUUCCCACUGAUCCCUGACGGAGCCAUAUUGUGCCUCGGUGGGAUGUCAGGCGCACAAAGCCAACCAGCCUGCCACAUUGUCUCACACUCCAAAUGAAGAAGUUCCUCCUCUGGCUCCCAACACGGCCUUGAAAUGUCAAAAGGGGAAGGAGCAGGCGAAGAGUGUUGGUGUGUUUUGAA